rnacentral:rRNA from 1 species
GACCGGGUACUAUUGUAGGACGUGAAAACACCGAUCCCAUUCCGACCUCGAUCCGUGAAAUCGUCUUACGCCAUAUGUACUGAUUUUGUCAUUUUGGGAGACAUGGUUCAAGCCCGGUU